UAGGGAAUAUUAGUCAUGGGCGAAAGCCUGAACUAGCAACACCGCGUGUGCGAAGAAGGCCUUCGGGUUGUAAAACACUUUUUGAGAGGAUGAGGGAGGACGGUACUCUCAGAAUAAGUCUCGGCUAACUACGUGCCAGCAGCCGCGGUAACACGUAGGAGGCAAACGUUAUCCGGAUUUACUGGGCGUAAAGCGCGUGUAGGUGGUUUGGUAAGUCGAGCGUGAAAGCUUCUGGCUCAACUGGGAGACGUCUGUCUAAACUGCCGGGCUAGAGUAUGGUAGAGGUGGGUGGAAUUCCGGGUGUAGCGGUGGAAUGAGCAGAUAUCCGGAGGAACACCAGUGGCGAAAGCGGCCUCCUGGACCACUCCUGACACUCAGGCGCGAAAGCUAGGGUAGCAAACG
rnacentral:rRNA from 1 species